rnacentral:rRNA from 1 species
CACGGGGGGAGCAAGCGUUGUUCGGAAUCACUGGGCGUAAAGGGCGUGUAGGCGGUCAAGUAAGUGGAAUGUGAAAGCCCCCGGCUUACCCGGGGAUCUGCAUCCCAAACUGCUUGGCUUAGUACGGGAGAGGAUAGGGGAAUUCCUGGGUGUAGCGGUGAAAUGCGUAGAUAAUCAGGAGGAACAGCCGGUGGCGAAAGGCGCCUAUCUGGCCCGAUACUGACGCUGAGGCGCGAAAGCUAGGGGGAGCAAACGGG